GCGGACUAUUGCACUUGCACAGGUGAUCAAUAUCCUCCAAUGUUUUUGUUUGCUAGGAAACAUGGGCAUAUAUUAAGCUUUUAUGCCAGCUUUAGCGUUAGCACAUCCAUAUGUGCAAGAGAAAGGUUCAGACAGAAUUAUGCUUGCUAUCUCUCUACCAAAACAGAACUAUGAUUUCUACUAGCUUGAUGUGGACAUAUGAAUCUAGAGUUUUAUGGGAAGCACAAUUUUAUGGGAAGAUACUAAUAAAUUGGGGCCCGUUUUAAUGCAAUUGGAAUCACAACGCUCCAACCUGGUAGUGGCAGAUUUUGCCUUAUUAGAAUUGUAUAUAUUGCAAUUUAACUUUUUUGGGGGGAAAACGCAAAGGACCUUAGUGCUACAAGGCUUUAGGUUUCUUUGUUGAAUUAAGCAACAAAACUAAGCAAGGUGCGUAUUCAGCACAUGGUAUUGGCAGGGACAGAAUCAUGGGUAUAUAUAUGUUGCAUAAAUAUUAAACAUGCCCAAUUUCUGUGCAGUAUAAAUAAUACACUACUACUGAGACGGUCCAGGUGAAGAGAAAACCAUUGAAGGAACAUCGUCAGUUCUAACAGGGAGUAAACGGCUGGGCACAGAGGUAGAGCUGGGCGAUAGAUAAGCAUUCAGAUUUUAGUUGGUUUCAGAAUGUCUGCUCUUUUCUCAUAAUAGAAGAACUUAUAUUAAUCUGAUGGCUCUUGAUUUCUGCGUAGAUGCUUCUAACAUCCUUCAACUGUUAGAAAAAUAUGUAUGAACUAGUCAUUUCAGAUAGAAGCUACCUUUGGGGGUGCCCUCUAUUGAGU
rnacentral:lncRNA from 1 species